rnacentral:miRNA from 1 species
UCACCGGGUAGGAUUCAUCCA